rnacentral:siRNA from 1 species
AUCCCGAGUUUGCCGAAGAACCC